CGCUGAAAGCCUGGUGCUUGCACCGGGUGGAUGAGUGGCGAACGGGUGAGUAACACGUGAGUAACCUGCCCCUGACUUCGGGAUAAGCCCGGGAAACUGGGUCUAAUACCGGAUACGACUGCCGGACGCAUGUCUGGUGGUGGAAAGUUUUUUCGGUUGGGGAUGGGCUCGCGGCCUAUCAGUUUGUUGGUGAGGUAAUGGCUCACCAAGACGACGACGGGUAGCCGGCCUGAGAGGGCGACCGGCCACACUGGGACUGAGACACGGCCCAGACUCCUACGGGAGGCAGCAGUGGGGAAUAUUGCACAAUGGGGGAAACCCUGAUGCAGCGACGCAGCGUGCGGGAUGACGGCCUUCGGGUUGUAAACCGCUUUCAGCAGGGAAGAAGCGCAAGUGACGGUACCUGCAGAAGAAGUACCGGCUAACUACGUGCCAGCAGCCGCGGUAAUACGUAGGGUACGAGCGUUGUCCGGAAUUAUUGGGCGUAAAGAGCUCGUAGGUGGUUGGUCACGUCUGCUGUGGAAACGCAACGCUUAACGUUGCGCGUGCAGUGGGUACGGGCUGACUAGAGUGCAGUAGGGGAGUCUGGAAUUCCUGGUGUAGCGGUGAAAUGCGCAGAUAUCAGGAGGAACACCGGUGGCGAAGGCGGGACUCUGGGCUGUAACUGACACUGAGGAGCGAAAGCAUGGGGAGCGAACAGGAUUAGAUACCCUGGUAGUCCAUGCCGUAAACGUUGGGCACUAGGUGUGGGGGGCAUUCCACGUUCUCCGCGCCGUAGCUAACGCAUUAAGUGCCCCGCCUGGGGAGUACGGUCGCAAGGCUAAAACUCAAAGGAAUUGACGGGGGCCCGCACAAGCGGCGGAGCAUGCGGAUUAAUUCGAUGCAACGCGAAGAACCUUACCAAGGCUUGACAUACACCGGACCGUCCUGGAAACAGGUCCUCUUCUUUGAAGCUGGUGUACAGGUGGUGCAUGGUUGUCGUCAGCUCGUGUCGUGAGAUGUUUGGGUUAAGUCCCGCAACGAGCGCAACCCUCGUUCUAUGUUGCCAGCAUGGGGAUGGUGGGAACUCAUAGGAGACUGCCGGGUC
rnacentral:rRNA from 1 species